rnacentral:rRNA from 1 species
UACGUAGGGUGCGAGCGUUAAUCGGAAUUACUGGGCGUAAAGCGUGCGCAGGCGGUUAUGUAAGACAGAUGUGAAAUCCCCGGGCUUAACCUGGGAACUGCGUUUGUGACUGCAUAACUAGAGUACGGCAGAGGGGGGUGGGAAUUCCUGGUGUAGCAGUGAAAUGCGUAGAUAUCAGGAGGAACAUCGAUGGCGAAGGCAGCCCCCUGGGCCUGUACUGACGCUCAUGCACGAAAGCGUGGGGAGCAAACAGG